UUUAGUAGCUGUUUAUCAAAUAGAGGAAGAGUAACUUAAGAUGAUCCCAUCAUCAUCUCGGCGGAGGACAACAUCAUCACGGGUGGCCUCACCACCACGAAGCACAUUGCCACCAACGACAUCAACAAUUCGGCCCGUCAGGUCACCACCACCGCCAUCAUCAUCGACAUCAUCAGCAUCCUGCUCCCCCACCGUUCAAAUCAACAGAACCAACAGAAGUUAACUGUUGUUUUUGUAUAAUAAUAUAAUUAUGAGAUUUGGCGACAGUGGCACAAUUCUCAAUGUUAAUCAGUUUAUUUUGGCCAUGGUGGUCUAUAUCUGCCAGUUAAAUGUUUUAUUUGAUACCUAAAUAUGUAUGCAACUAAAUAAUUUUAUUUGUAUAAUAUAGAAUUUUAUGUUUGUUUUUGUAUGUGAUCUAUGUAAUUUUAUGAAUAAAUUUGGUAUGAACACCAAUUUGCAUAAGAACUAAAAAUAAAGUUUAUAACUCCAA